CGUAGGGUGCGAGCGUUAAUCGGAAUUACUGGGCGUAAAGUGUGCGCAGGUGGCUGAGCAAGUCGAGUGUGAAAUCCCCGGGCUUAACUUGGGAAUUGCGCUCGAAACUACUUGGCUCGAGUGUGGCAGAGGAAGGUGGAAUUCCAGGUGUAGCGGUGAAACGCGUAGAGAUCUGGAGGAACACCGAUGGCGAAGGCAGCCUUCUGGGCCAACACUGACGCUCAUGCACGAAAGCGUGGGGAGCAAACAGGAUUAGAUACCCUGGUAGUCCACGCCCUAAACGAUGAUGACUAGUUGUUGGGGGAGUUAAAUCCCUUAGUAACGCAGCUAACGCGUGAAGUCAUCCGCCUGGGGAGUACGGUCGCAAGAUUA
rnacentral:rRNA from 1 species